GUGCUGGCUUCAGCCGCACAUAUACUAAAAUUGGAACAAUACAGAGAAGAUUAGCGUGGACCCUGCUCAAGGAUGACACUCAAAAACUUAUACUCUCU
ensembl:snRNA U6 U6 spliceosomal RNA